UUUCCGUAGGUGAACCUGCGGAAGGAUCAUUAUCGAAUAAACUUGGCGUGGUUGUUGCUGGCUUCUAGGAGCAUGUGCACACCCGUCACCUUUAUCUUUCCACCUGUGCACACUUUGUAGGCUCUGGGAUUAUCUCUCGCGCACUCUUGUAGUGUUGCGGAUGCGAAGGUUGUCGCGCCCUCACAGGCCGGCUUCCCUCGAAUGUCUCAGGUCUAUGUUUAUUAACACACCCCUAUCGAAUGUAUAAAAGAAUGUUGAUUUCAAAGGGCUCUGCCCAUAUAGAAACUCAAUACAACUUUCAGCAACGGAUCUCUUGGCUCUCGCAUCGAUGAAGAACGCAGC
rnacentral:misc_RNA from 1 species